UGGGGAAUCUUGCGCAAUGGGCGAAAGCCUGACGCAGCGAUGCCGCGUGAGGGAAGAAGGCCUUCGGGUUGUAAACCCCUUUCAGGAGGGACGAAGGUGCGACGGUGAAUAGCCGCUCGCACUGACGGUACCUCCACAAGAAGCCCCGGCUAACUACGUGCCAGCAGCCGCGGUAAUACGUAGGGGGCAAGCGUUGUCCGGAAUCAUUGGGCGUAAAGCGCGCGUAGGCGGCCCGGUAAGUCCGCUCUGAAAGUCCAGGGCUCAACCCUGGAAAGCGGGUGGAUACUGCCGGGCUAGAAUCCGGAAGAGGCGAGUGGAAUUCCUGGUGUAGCGGUGGAAUGCGCAGAUAUCAGGAGGAACACCAAUAGCGAAGGCAGCUCGCUGGGACGGUAUUGACGCUAAGGCGCGAAAGCGUGGGGAGCAAACAGGAUUAGAUACCCUGGUAGUCCACGCCGUAAACGAUGGGCACUAGGUGUGGGAGGUGUCGACUCCUCCCGUGCCGACGCUAACGCAUUAAGUGCCCC
rnacentral:rRNA from 1 species